ACACCCAGCCAAUGAGACAGAAGCUUAAGCGACCUGGCACCACUCCUUCCUUACUUCUUUUUCUUCCUUCCUGGAGCAGCCAUUGUGAGAUCAUGAGGCAACAAUCAUGAGGAAAGAGCUAAGACAGCAGAGAUGUGGACCCUGACAUGGCGGAGCCACUGCACCACCUCAAAGCUGCUUUUCCUCAGAACCAAUUCUGAAAACCAGAAUUCCUGAAGGUGUUUGCUGUACGCUACAGCUGCUGUAACGUACCCUCAAGAGCUGUAUGUAUGAGCGCUGUUUCUUACUCUUCUCCAGUACCAGGUACUGCCAUUAAAGGUUCCAGGUGAGAAAUACCACUGAGAUUCAACCAACUUCUGUCAAGUGCAUUUUAAAUAUGAUAUUCCACAUAACAUCAAAAUGUUGAAGAAUGAUAUGAAGUUAUUAUCACAAAUUAAAUAGGAUCAGCUUUAAUAGGAAAAGCCACAGUAUUUUUCAAUCAAGAAGAGCCGAGUUUCAAGUUUUAACAGCACUGAAUUCACACAUUUACUGUGCACAUAAUACUACUCUGAUGCCGGCAGAGCAGGGGCCAGACUUCACGAAGGACAAUCACUUUUCAAAACUACCCAUUUCUAUUCAGCUAUGAAGAAAAAUACAAGAUUUGCCUCCAAACUGAUACCAUAUAAACAUCAGGAGUGGUUUUGUUGCUCGUUUGUUUUUUGAGACAGGGUCUCGGUGUGUUGCCCAGGCUGGAGUGCAGUGGCACAAUCUUGGCUCACUGCAACCUCUGCCUCCCAGGUUAAAGCGAUUA